rnacentral:misc_RNA from 1 species
GUGAAUCAUCAAAUUUUUGAACGCAAAUUGCACUCUCCUCGGAGAGUAUGCCUGUUUGAGGGUCAGCCUAUAAAAAUAGACAUCGUUGCUGUUUCGCGGUGGAGUUCGUCGGAAAUUGGGUCAUCUUAAAUCCUUUUGUUUUAAGCGUCUUAAAAUUUUCUUUUGGUUUUAUGAACGUUUCUUAGAUGUAUUUCUUUACACGUUUAAGGUAUCGAUUUUUUCUAUCAG